UCCUACGGGACGCAGCAGUGGGGAAUAUUGCACAAUGGGGGAAACCCUGAUCCAGCGACGCCGCGUGAGUGAAGAAGUAUUUCGGUACGUAAAGCUCUAUCAGCAGGAAAGAAAAUGACGGUACCUGACUAAGAAGCCCCGGCUAACUACGUGCCAGCAGCCGCGGUAAUACGUAGGGGGCAAGCGUUAUCCGGAAUUACUGGGUGUAAAGGGAGCGUAGACGGUUAAGUAAGUCUGAAGUGAAAGGCAGGGGCUUAACCCCUGAACUGCUUUGGAAACUGCCAUGCUAGAGUGCUGGAGAGGUA
rnacentral:rRNA from 1 species